rnacentral:tRNA from 1 species
GCCUGGGUGGCUCAGUGGGUUAAGCGUCUGACUUCGGCUCAGGUCAUGAUCUCACGGUUCGUGAGUUCGAGCCCCGCGUCGGGCU